UCUGGUCCCUUGAAAUACAUAAAAUAUGGGUUCUGUUAUAUUUUGGUAUUGUUCAUUCCAAAUAGAAUCACUCAGGGUGUGGAUAGAUACAUAGCAAAAGUGCCUGAAUUAUCUGUAAUUGGAAUUCUUCAUGUGGCCUUUGUAUAUUCUUGUCUAAUUGUCUUUUUUCCCAAAUAUUUAGGCUGAUAUAUGGUCAUUGGGAAUAUCAGCGCUUGAAAUGGCAGAAGGAUAUUAUCGUAAGUAAACCUCAGUAUGUGUGAACUAUAGUGAAUAAAUAACGCUUUUUCAAAAGGUUAGAGGGCAUUUAUAUGUCUUAUUAAAUAUGAAAAACAAAAGGGCUGCUAUACAGAAAUUUUAAUUUAAUAAUUUAAUAUUACGUUUCCAAUCCCAGAACACAAUUGAGUUAAUUUGACUUUUUUAAAGAUGUGAAAAAGCUUAAAAGUUCCAAUUUGUGUAAAUUGCCCCACGAAUGUUGUGAUUGUCAGUCGUCAUGUUCUCAUUUUGUAUUUUCUUACAUCCUAGCAUUCAGCAGACUUCCCGAAAAUAAGCUGAUGAAGAGGGUUAUGCACGGUCCCGCACCAACAUUACUAUGGGACAAAUGGAGUGACAACUUUCGUGCAUUCAUCAGCAAAAUCCUCCAAAAGAAUGCAGCGUGGAGACCCUCCGCAGAGCAGCUACUGUCACACCCCUUCAUAUCAAAUAUCCCAAAUGAGAGGGGUGUGACUGAUUCCAUCAAGUGGUACCUGCAUUAAGGAAUGAAGAACUGAAGAAAUAGCAGCCAUCGGGGGAGGGACGGGGGCACAAAUGUAGGGCCCUAAUGUCAUCUUUGGGCCCUGCAGAAAAACAUGGUCCCGAUGGCGGCUUUAGAAGAUUAAGAACAUCAGCUUUAGAAGAUUACCAUCAAUUUGAUAUUUUACAUUAUUCAAUUCAAUAAACAUUUUAAAAUUACAUUGACCUCUAUU